ACGACCUUACUUGAACAGGAUCUGUUCUAUAGGUUCGUACCUCUGUAUCCUUAAGUUCUAAGGAGACAGGAACUGAAAUCUGGUGGAUGAUCUAUGACUCUGUGAUCAGAGCGUGAUUAACGGCUAGAUGAACUUCUCCUCGGAUUAGUGAAAUCUCCAGCUGUAGAGGAUCGUUCCUGGUCAGCAGUGGCUUAGGAUGGUCACAGAGUUGUCUGACAGAUU
rnacentral:snoRNA from 2 species